rnacentral:rRNA from 1 species
GUGUACCUACGGGAGGCAGCAGUGGGGAAUAUUGGACAAUGGGGGGAACCCUGAUCCAGCGACGCCGCGUGAGUGAAGAAGUAUUUCGGUAUGUAAAGCUCUAUCAGCAGGGAAGAAAGAAAUGACGGUACCUGACUAAGAAGCCCCGGCUAACUACGUGCCAGCAGCCGCGGUAAUACGUAGGGGGCAAGCGUUAUCCGGAUUUAUUGGGUGUAAAGGGUGCGUAGGCGGCUUCUUAAGUCUGUAGUCUAAGCCCGGAGCUUAACUCCGGUUCGCUACAGAAACUGAUUAGCUUGAGUAUGGUA